rnacentral:rRNA from 1 species
CCUACGGGUGGCAGCAGUGAGGAAUAUUGGUCAAUGGGCGGGAGCCUGAACCAGCCAAGCCGCGUGAAGGAAGAAGGCGCCAGGCGUCGUAAACUUCUUUUGUCGGGGAACAAAGUGCGCCACGCGUGGCUUUGUGAGUGUACCCGAAGAAAAAGCAUCGGCUAACUCCGUUCCAGCAGCCGCGGUAAUACGGAGGAUGCGAGCGUUCUCCGGAUUUAUUGGGUUUAAAGGGUUCGUAGGCGGUCCGGAAAGUCAGCGGUAAAAGCCCGGGGCUCAACCCCGGAGAGCAGUUGAAACUGUCGGACUAGAGAAGGCGAGAGGUACGCGGAAUGCGCGGUGUAGCGGGGAAAUGCAUAGAGAUCGCGAAGAACUCCGAUUGCGAAGGCAGCGUACCGGAGCCGGACUGACGCUGAGGCACGAAAGCGUGGGUAUCGAACAGGAUUAGAUACCCUAGUAGUC